CCUAUGGGUGGAGAAGUGUUUUAUAGACCAAGAGGAACUAAUAGGAAAAAAAUAACAGGAGUUGUUCUUAAGGAAUUCCAACUGGGGAGCCUCAUCUUCACCUGGAUGAUUUAUGUGAUGAGAUGAUGAACUUGAAGCUGAUGCUGUAAUUGAAGAGAUCAGGAGGCUUGAGCAUGGACAGGAGCAAGGAGGAGUAUACUUCUGAGCUCUGAAUCUGCAGGAGAACUUUUUCUUGAUUGAUUAAAGAAGCAACAAAAGAAUAUGAAUUAAAGCAAUCUGUCCAAAUGAGAAAACAGGUUGGUAAUGACUUUUUCCUUCUCCUUAAAAAAAUUUUCUGAUGAUUCUA